GAGUGGCGAACGGGUGAGUAACACGUGGGUAACCUGCCCAUCAGAAGGGGAUAACACUUGGAAACAGGUGCUAAUACCGUAUAACAAUCGAAACCGCAUGGUUUUGAUUUGAAAGGCGCUUUCGGGUGUCGCUGAUGGAUGGACCCGCGGUGCAUUAGCUAGUUGGUGAGGUAACGGCUCACCAAGGCCACGAUGCAUAGCCGACCUGAGAGGGUGAUCGGCCACAUUGGGACUGAGACACGGCCCAAACUCCUACGGGAGGCAGCAGUAGGGAAUCUUCGGCAAUGGACGAAAGUCUGACCGAGCAACGCCGCGUGAGUGAAGAAGGUUUUCGGAUCGUAAAACUCUGUUGUUAGAGAAGAAUAAGGAUGAGAGUAACUGUUCAUCCCUUGACGGUAUCUAACCAGAAAGCCACGGCUAACUACGUGCCAGCAGCCGCGGUAAUACGUAGGUGGCAAGCGUUGUCCGGAUUUAUUGGGCGUAAAGCGAGCGCAGGCGGUUUCUUAAGUCUGAUGUGAAAGCCCCCGGCUCAACCGGGGAGGGUCAUUGGAAACUGGGAGACUUGAGUGCAGAAGAGGAGAGUGGAAUUCCAUGUGUAGCGGUGAAAUGCGUAGAUAUAUGGAGGAACACCAGUGGCGAAGGCGGCUCUCUGGUCUGUAACUGACGCUGAGGCUCGAAAGCGUGGGGAGCAAACAGGAUUAGAUACCCUGGUAGUCCACGCCGUAAACGAUGAGUGCUAAGUGUUGGAGGGUUUCCGCCCUUCAGUGCUGCAGCUAACGCAUUAAGCACUCCGCCUGGGGAGUACGACCGCAAGGUUGAAACUCAAAGGAAUUGACGGGGGCCCGCACAAGCGGUGGAGCAUGUGGUUUAAUUCGAAGCAACGCGAAGAACCUUACCAGGUCUUGACAUCCUUUGACCACUCUAGAGAUAGAGCUUCCCCUUCGGGGGCAAAGUGACAGGUGGUGCAUGGUUGUCGUCAGCUCGUGUCGUGAGAUGUUGGGUUAAGUCCCGCAACGAGCGCAACCCUUAUUGUUAGUUGCCAUCAUUCAGUUGGGCACUCUAGCAAGACUGCCGGUGACAAACCGGAGGAAGGUGGGGAUGACGUCAAAUCAUCAUGCCCCUUAUGACCUGGGCUACACACGUGCUACAAUGGGAAGUACAACGAGUCGCGAAGUCGCGAGGCUAAGCUAAUCUCUUAAAGCUUCUCUCAGUUCGGAUUGUAGGCUGCAACUCGCCUACAUGAAGCCGGAAUCGCUAGUAAUCGCGGAUCAGCACGCCGCGGUGAAUACGUUCCCGGGCCUUGUACACACCGCCCGUCACACCACGAGAGUUUGUAACACCCGAAGUCGGUGAGGUAACCUUUUGGAGCCAGCCGCCUAAGGUGGGAUAGAUGAUUGGG
rnacentral:rRNA from 1 species